AUGACUCGUGCUGGUGUGGAAAGAAUGCAAGUCGAACGAAGAAUAUGAUUAGUUUACUAAGAGUAUUUUUAGUGGCGGACGGGUUAGUAACACGUGAGCAACCUGCCUUAAAGUGGGGGAUAGUCCUGGGAAACUAGGUUUAAUACCGCAUGUGAUCUUUGGAUCAAAGAUGGCCUUUGGCUAUCGCUUUAAGAUGGGCUCGCGUCCUAUCAGCUAGUUGGUGAGGUAAAGGCUCACCAAGGCGACGACGGGUAGCUGUCCUGAGAGGAAGAUCAGCAACACUGGAACUGAGACACGGUCCAGACACCUACGGGUGGCAGCAGUCGAGAAUCAUUCACAAUGGACGAAAGUCUGAUGGUGCAACGCCGCGUGGAGGAUGAAGGCCCUAGGGUCGUAAACUCCUGUCAUAUAAGAGUAAGGCAUAGACGUUAAUAGCGUUUAUGUUUGAUAGUAUUAUAAGAGGAAGGGACGGCUAACUUCGUGCCAGCAGCCGCGGUAAUACGAAGGUCCCGAGCGUUAUUCGGAAUCACUGGGCGUAAAGGGAGCGUAGGCUGCGUGGUAAGUCAGAUGUGAAAUCUCAGGGCUCAACCUUGAAACUGCAUUCGAUACUGCCAUGCUAGAGUAAUGGAGAGGUAACUGGAAUUCUCGGUGUAGCAGUGAAAUGCGUGGAUAUCGAGAGGAAGACCAAUGGCGAAAGCAGGUUACUGUACAUUUACUGACGCUGAGCUCGAAGGCUAGGGUAGCGAAAGGGAUUAGAUACCCCUGUAGUCCUAGCAGUAAACGAUGUGCGCUUGGUGUGGGAGGGUUCGACCCCUUCUGUGCCGGAGCUAACGCGUUAAGCGCACCGCCUGG
rnacentral:rRNA from 1 species